GUCAAGACCGUGUUGAUCGUUGCCGAGCUAGCGUGGGUUUCUCUUGUGGCUCUGCCCCCUCAGCCUGUGAGCAGCGCCCGCGACUUGACGGCUCUGCUGGUCCUGGCGCUGCCCAGAGCCCUUUCCCUCUAUGAUCUUGGUCUCGGAGAGUUGGUAAGAUCUGUUGUUGUGACCUCAGACCGCAUUCCAAACUCUCAAGCCCAUUCAUUCCAUAAACUCCGCAGCCCUGACCCCUUAGAGGAAGGAAUUCACCGAAUAGUUGGGGAGUUUUGGGAACAGCCUUACUGCGCGGGCUGGCACGGCUCAUGAUGUGACCAUAAAAUAGACAGUAUUGAUGAGGGUCGAGCUGAGGGCUUUGGGGAAUGAACACUCACUCCAUCAGGAGAGGUGAGGGCAAACUUUCUGAAGAGCAGAGGCCGAAGCUGGGUUUGAAAGAUCAUGAGUGAGGCUGUGGCCUGAAUGGAGAGCAGCAAGAAAAGAGCCCGGAGAGGUGAAGUAGUCCAACAUCUGGGAUUUGCGUUCAGGGAGAAAGGCUAGAUAGGUCGGCAAGGCUCAGACCUUAUGAAGGUCUUAUUAUAUGCCGUGUUAAGGAAUUUGGGCUCCGUCCUGUGGGCGUUGGUGAGCUUUUGGAGACUAUUAAGCUAAGCUGGAUAGUGAUGUGAUCCGAUUUGCACUUUCUUGGAAUCAUUCUAGUAACUAUUGAAGGGAUUGUGAAACUGGAGGCAGUGAACCUAUCACAGUAACCAAGGGCUAGAUGUAAGUCUGAAGGGGGAUAGGGGAAGAGUGUACCUCACCGGUCAUUUUGUAUACCUAAAAGACUGGGGACUCCUUCUUCUCCCUGUGGCUGUCUUGCUAACGGAGCAUCUGUACCAAGAGUAUGGAGGGCACUGGUUCCGAAGGCACUUCCUCUUUGCUGUUGGGUUGGCAGAGGAGGUAGACAACAAAGUUCUCCGUGCUACUUUUAUUUCUGUUUGGAGACAUCAUGGAUAAUUAGUUUUCCCUGGAUUAUGAAACAGGUGAGUUCUUUCAGUGUCUCUUGUUCGGAUUCCUAAUGUCAGGAAAAGAAUUUGAGAAGAAUUUUAAGUCCUGUGCAUUGUUUACGGUUGAUAUGUAAUGAAGUUCAGGAGGAUGUCUCUCUAGGUCAACGUGACUAUGAUCUUGGUGAUGGGAAAGGAAUGUUCCAAGGACAACAAGGCCAGGAUGCUGGUGUGGCUAUGGGCUGAAAUUUAGAUUGACAGUUUGUUGGAUUUGAAGAAAGGCUUUCUCCACAUUGGAACCACUUGGGGGCUUUGAUAUUUGAUCAUUUAAUAUAUAAACUGCAUAGUAAGAUUCAGUAGGAAGCUAGUUUUAGAAAAUUCUUAAGAGGUCUGAGUAAUGUUUCACAUCCCCGUGCUAGGUAGCUCUACCCCACCACACCUGCUGCCCAGACCUCCCUUAUUGGCCGUUGUGAUUUUAAAUAGCAGCAGGCAGCAGGAAAGUUCAGCUGCAACAGUGGCAGGGCCUUGGACUCUGCUCAUCUGGGGGAGUUUCCCUUAAAUUGGUAUCGUAGUUAUGGUGUAUAUUUCUGUUUGAUCCUUGGUUGUAAUUUUCUAAGAUAGGAGUUUUAGAACCAGCUGUGCCACUAAUUCUGGGUUGAUACUCACCUCUCUGAGUUCUUCAUUUCUUAAAUAAAACAGUAAGACUGGCCGCUGGGGGCUCGUCUAUCCCUGAAUUCUAUAAAUUAGUAACUCUUGUUGCCCUUGCUUUCUGCCAGCUAACAUAAUGUUUUCCUGAGGACAAGCAUGAGGCUCCUUCACUAAUAAUCACUUAACUCCGUAGUGAGGUCAGCGCUCCGUCCUCCCUGUUGUUCAGUUGGAAUGAAUAAUUGGUAAACAACUUUGUCUACUUUCUGUAUGUCUUAUAAACAAGUUAUUAAAAUGCUUGGAAAGUAACUUAAGUCUUAAAUUCUGUUGUGGUAGAAUUGGAUACUACAAAGUUUAAAAAUUUAGUUCACUAUUCAGCUAUGUUUAUUUAAAAUGAACAAAAUAACCUUAAUAUUUCUGGAAGCCCUGUUGACUAAACUAAGGAAACCCUAAAAAUUAGAUUUUCAUUAAAAAAAUUUUUUUUUAAUGUUUAUUUUUUUUGAGAGUGAGAGCGAGCGAGAGCAGGGGAGGGGCAGAGAAAGAGAGAGAGAGACACAGAAUCUGAAGCAGGCUCCAGGCCCUGAGCCAUCAGCACGGCGCAGGGCUCAAACUCGUGAACCGCAAGGUCAUGACCUGAGCUGAAGUUGGAUGCUUAACCAACUCAGCCACCCAGGCGCCCCUAGAUUUUCAUUUUUUUAAAUGGCGUCUGGAUAUGGCAUGCUUCCUUCUAUUGCUCACAUACUAACGAUCUGCUGUUGUGAAAAGCACCAAGGAUUUGCUCUUGUUGAGUUUGAAUUGGCAGAGGUAAGAAAUUUUCCUUGUUUAGUAUUUGGUGUUGCCUAUUGUCAUUGGCUACAAAAGGUGCCACCCUCCAUUUGGGUGGAUGUAGUAGAUUCCUGGGGCUGCCAUAACAAACUACCACAAACUUGGCUUAACACAAGAGAAAUUUAUUCUCACAGCUGUACCUGCUCUGGAGGCUAGCAGAUCUAAAUCAAGGUAUUGGCAGGACCAUGCUCCCUCUGAAAGCUCUAGGGAAGAAUCCUUCCCUCCUUAGCUUCUGGUGGCUCCUGGCAGUCCUUGGCACUCUGUAGCUUAUAACUGCAUCAGUCCAGUCUUUGCCCCUGUCUUCACAUGGCCUUGUUCCCCACAUGUGUCUGUGUCUCCUCUACUUACAAGAAUACCAGUUGUUGAUUGGAUUAAGGACCACCUUAAUGCAGUAUGGCCUCAUCUUGACUAAUUAUGUUUGCAGAGACCCCAUUUGUAAAUAGGGUCACAUUCUGAAAUUUGGGCAGACCUGAAGUUUCGGGGGAUAUGAUUCAACCCCCAAAACCCUGGUUUGGUGGUGACAGUUGCCAAGGGACAAGAAGUUCUGGUUGAAGGAAGGCUCACCAAGCCAGGCUCAUAGUCAGAGCCUCAUGUAGUCAGAAUGUGGAAGACAGAUCCUGCAGAGAUCUGUCUCUGCCUUCUAGAGCCUGCAUUGCUGGUUCCUGUCUCCUGUGUGUUUUCAGGUUUCUGUGCCUGAGCACACAUCCUUACAUCACCAGCUCUAAUAAGCAGUUAGUACAUACACUUUGUUAAAUGCAUAUAAUCUAGGGAGGGAAGGAGGGAAAGUGUGGGUUUUUUUUCCAUGUGUGUGCUACUGAGUUUUUAUUUGAGUGCUAACCACAGGAAGAGUUGGACUACACACAUGAACUCUUAUAUUCUCUUAGCAGGAUGCUACGGCGGCAAUCGACAGCAUGAUAUGGCUGAGACUCUUUGCUUUUUACUGAAGCUAUUUUUUGAUGCUACUUUACAGUACAUGGGACCCUCAGGUGCAUAUGGUGUUUCCAGUUUCCACAGUCUCAAGUUAUCUAGGAAGCAAAAGUUGUCAUUAUUUGAAAGUAUUUACUGUGAACUGGCUACUUAUGAAAUGAAUUGUUAUUCAGAAAUCCUUCCUAUUUAAAUGUUUGCAUAAAUGCCAACCAUCUUUGUUGGCGAGUCUCUCCCUGACACUUUGGUGUGUUUUUGUUUUUUUAUUAAAAAAAUUUUUUUAAUGUUUACUUUUGGGAACAGAAAGAAACAGAGCAUGAGUGGGGGAGGAGCAGAGAGAGAGAGGGAGGGAGACACAGAAUCUGAAGCAGGCUCCAGGUUCUGAGCUGUCAGCACAUAGCCCGAUGCAAGGCUCAAACCCAUGAACUGUAAGAUCAUGACAUGAGCUGAAGUCGGACAUUUAACUGACUGAGCCACCCAGGUGUCACUUGUGGGUUUUUUAAAAAUGUUUAUUUAUUUAUUUUGAAAGAGAGAGAGCGUGUGAGUGAGCAAGCAUGAGAGGGGCAGGAAAAAGGAGAGAGAGAAUUCCAAGCAGGCUUCAUGCUGUCAGCACAGACCCCAACAUGGAGCUCAAUCCCAUGCACCAUGAGAUCAUAAUCUGAGCCAAAAUCAAGAGUCAGACACUCAACUGACUGAGCCUCCCCAGCGCCCCUCUCCCUGACACUUUUGUAUCUAUGUCAGGGGUCAGCAAAUUCAGACUGCAGGCCACAUCUGUCCUGCAGCCUGCUUUUGUAUGGCCCAUGAGCUAAAUAGUUUUUUAUAUGUUUAAUGGGUUUUGGAAAAAAAGGGGAAAAAAGCAUAUGCAGUAGAGACUCUGUUUGACCCACAAAGAAAUAUUUACUGUCUAGGGGUACAUGGGUGACUCAGUCAGUUAAGCGUCUGACUUCAGCUCAGGUCAUGAUCUCAUGGUUCUUGGGUUCAAGCCCCACAUAGGGGUCUCUGCUAUCAGUGCAGAGCCCACGUUGGAUCUCUGUCCCCCUCUCUUUGUCUCUUUCCCACUUGUUUUCUCUCUCUCUCAAAAAGAAAUAAACAUUAAAAAAAUUACAAACAAAUAUUUACUGUCUAGCCGUUUACAGAAAGUUUGCCAGCCUCUAGUCCAGGGCAGUAUACUGCAAAUAGAGUGUAAAAGGAUUGCAAAGUAAACUUGUGAAUCUGGCAUAAAAGACAGGGUUUCAUGGAAAACUGCUGUGGUUGGCUCUAGUCAACAAAGUGUAAACUUUUGAGUCAUGGCUCAAAAGUGGCUCUCUCUAAGUAAAGUUAAACCAGAGAAAACCUGUAAGGUUUGUUAGGCUGAGUGCUUCAAAGAAAAGUGGUUUAAAUUCCUACUGCUGCUGUAACAAAUUACCAAAAUUUAGUGGCUUAACAACAACACAAAUUCAUUAUCUUAGAGUUCUGGAAGUCUUAAGUCCAAAAUGUGUCUCACUGCAUGAGCAGGACUACAUUCCUUGUGGAGGCUCUACGGGAGAGUCUGUUUCUUUCCAGCUUGUAGAGAUUGACCUCAUUCCUCGGCUUCUGGUCCCUUCUAUCUUCAAGCCAGCAGUGGCCAGGUGAGUCUUUCUCACCCUGAGUCACUCUGAAACUAACUCCCCUGCCUCCCUUGUCACAUUUAGAGGAUCUUUGUGAUUACACUGGGAGCACCUGAAUAAUCCAAUAUAAUAUCCUUAUUUGAAGGUCGGCAGACCAACGAGCGAUAGCCUUCCUUCUUGCCAUGUAAUAUUACAUAUUCACGGGUUCUGGAGAAUAAGAUGUGGACACCAUUGGGGCGGGGGGUGUUAUUUUGCCUACAACAAAACUCUUACAUGUUUCUACCCUCCCCUUUUUUUUAUCUUUAUGAUAAACCUUUCUUCUCUUAUAAUCUGUCUUUAUGAUUAAAUAUGAAAUAAGGGUAUUUCAUGCUAUCAUUCAGUCUUUUUCUUAAUUGCUAUAAGUAAAAUUAGUACUUGAUUCAUCUUUGUUUCUAGGAACGAAGCAUAGCUAUAACUUAAAUGUUACUAAUUAAGGAAUCCUAUUUCAUAUUUUUUUAGUUUUCAUGAAAAGGCCCAAAACAAACCUUUUUUAAAAAUCUUGGGGUGCCUGGGUGGCUCAGUCAGUUAAGUGUACGACUCUUGAUUUCAGCUCCGGUCAUGAUCUCAUGGUUUGUGGGUUUGAGCCCCGUAUCGGGCUCCAUGCUGACAGUGGGGAGCCUGCUUGGGAUUCUCUCUCUCCCUCUCUCUCUGCCCCUCCCUCCCUCCCUCUCUCUCUCUUAAAAAUAAGUAAAUAAACUUAAAAAAAAACUACCCAAGUGUCAGUUGUUCUUGGAUAAUAUUCCUGUACAUCCGUGUUUUCUGUUACUUUUUCAUCAAACAUGUCCCCCACCAGCCAGCAACACUAUUUCUUUCCCAUUUAGUGCUGAUCUUGACUUUUAAAAAUGGACUCAAUACAUGGUAACUGCAUUUACCCUUAUAAUUUCAGAGUUCUGAGCUCAGAUUCAAAGAUCAUGCCAGCACAGAUCUUCCUGUUGGUGUUGAAAGAAAAGAAAUGUGUAGUGGCUCAGGGACAUUUUAUGGUUGGUUUUGUGUAUAGCUUGCCAUUGCGGGGUGUGGGCUCCCAGCAUAGAAUUAAUCAUGAGCAGAUCUCAGACUUCUUAGAAGUAAAAUGGAAGGUCUUUUAUUAACCUUACAAGGUUUAAGCAGCUGAGUUGUAUUGCAGUCAUUUUAGAAUGAACCUGAACUCUUUGGGCGGACAAUUCGUGUCCGUUUAGCCAAACUAGUGAGCGUUAAGGAAGGCUCAUUCAGACCAGGCAAGUGGGGGCAAUCACAGAUUCCCAAUCACAUCCUCAACUUUGGCCUCUGUUGCCUUUUUAUCCCUGUUUUACUUCCUGCUGUGGUGGGAGUAUAUACACGGGUAGAGUGGUGUACAGGGGAGGGGAGAAUGCAGCUCCUCCAUGGAAAUAGACUUUGAGAUUCUCUGCAAAGCUAGAGGCAUGGUCUCUGUGAAAGUCUUGCUCCGGGAUGUAGACGUACACUGUGCCCUUCCGGCCUUGACGGUGGUUGGAACUUCCCUUUUGGCUCGGCUUAGUCCUCCCUUGUUACUCUUAUCUGCCUCUGCUGAGAGCUGGACUUGAAGGCCUGACAUUUCCCAGUGACAGCUUCCCUUGUCCGAGAGGUAACUUCUGCCUGUGAGAGCCACAUGGUGUGUCCAUUCUGCUGACAAAGUGAAGAACUGGGCACAGCUAGUGAACAGCUGGCCAAUAGCCUGAAUUUCUUAACAUCUGUUCAGUUCUUUUCCUUUCAGUGUGGUCAGGUGAUGACUGGUUGAAGAAGUUUUCUGGGCAGACUCUUGAAGAGAAUAAAGAGGAAGGAGGGUCGGACGGAGCCUUCCAAAGUGGAAACCCAGGAGGUGAGGUUUGAAGGGAGAUCCCGCUGCGAAAAAGUCCUCAUCAAAUCCUCAGGUGUACAUGGACAUCAAGAUUGGGAACAAGCCAGCUGGCUGCAUCCAGGUGCUUCUGCUUUCAGACAUUGUCCCCAUGACAACAGACCCAGGGCAGCAAGGAUAGGAAGCCAAAGCAGAAGGUGAUCAUUGCCAACUGUGGGGAGUACAUGUGAGUCUGCAAAGUCUUGGCACUGCCCCUGUGUAUCCAAGAGGGAGCUGUCAGCCUGGGAACCAGCACCUGAGGGUGUCUGUCCCCUUUGCGGCAAGCAGGGGUUUGUGUCGUGGCCCUUCUUGGACUCAGCUCACAGCGACUCUUCUGCAGGUCCAAAUGCUUGCUCAAGGCUUCAUGGUAAGAAGAGAAACCCCAGGAAUGCUCCCCUUUCAGCUUCCCAGAAGCUGUAGGACUCUGGACUUUGGGAGGAAAUGGGGACAAAACACAGCCCCAUCCUCAGUCCCCAGCAGAGGCCCUGGCUCCACAGGUCACCAAGUCACGGUAGGUCCCUGCACACCAGGACUCCCACAGGCAGGGGAUUGUGGAAGUCCCUACCUCAUCCCUAGAGAUGACCAAAUUUAGAUUUUUUAGGAAAAGCUCAGCUUUAAAGUAGACACAGCAGCACCUCCUGGACAUGUUCUGGAAGGAGGGGGUUUUAACAGGAAGGUUUUAACAGGGGAGGCCCAGAUAUAUAAAUUCAUUUAAAGUAAGACCACUAGUAAAUGCUGUUCAUUCAGUACCCAUGCAUGCACGGUGCUGAGUACUUUGUGGACACACCAAAUCCCCACGAUGGCCUUGCAAGGGCAGUACUAAUACUCCAGAGGAAAAACUUCUAACUUAGAGGUGACAUAAUUUGGUCAAAUUAACAAGAGGCAGAGCCAGGAUUCUAUGCCAGGUCUACUGGCUGUAAAACCCACCAUAUCCUAUUCACAGCCUCCUUUCCUGUGAAAUUGCAGGGCAUUUCUCGAAGCAUGUCACCCAUUUCCUUACAUAGAGACACAAAAGAACAGGGCUUUGCCUGGUGAGCUGUCGUCCGGGCCAGUACCAUGCUCUGAUUGUGGAGGUGCGCUGGGUGUGAGGCGCACAGAGCAGUUCCCCCCGCACCCCUGCCCCCAGACUUGGCUGUUCCUCUGCAGCCUCCCUUCCUGGCAGCACUUACUUUGCUGUCAGCGGGCCUGAGCUGACCACCCUUAUGUAUUCUUCUAACGUGCAGCCUUGAACGUAACUUGGGGUAUCAGGCAACCAUAUAAGUAAGAUGGCUGCCCCUUCAUUGACUUUGCAUCCAUAAUUCUCCCCCUUCUCCAAGGCCUUUUCUGGUUGCUUUCAAUUUGUUAGAUGGCUGGAGGUUCUAGAAGUCUGUCAGGAAGUCCAUGACCACUGUACUUUCAGCUUUAUUGCACAGAAAGGGGUUCAGAUCAUGAUACUUACAUUCCUAUUCGGCACGCCCAGUGGACAAGGCAGUCUGCAUCUUUAAAACAUUCAUUCUACAAGCUUUCCUGGUAUCCCCAAAACAUGCCAGGUUAUGUGCUAGGUGUUGAGGAGACCAAAUACUGACAUUUGUUAAAAGUUUUCAAACCUCCACUGCCGUUGAUACUGGGAGGAGAGAGCUGCUAAGGCCCCAAAGUGGCGGGUUUCAUGUCCUAUGUACACAGCAGCUGGGCACUCAGGCUGUCUUUGCUCUGUGACAGAGGAGACAGCCAGCGUUUCAGGCAGGAAGGCGGCUUAUAUCCUUGUGUCACAGAUGAGAAACUGAAGCUUGAAUCAGGAAGGGAACUUGUCCUGACACCAAACCCAUCAGUGGCUGAGUUGGAACCAAAGUACAGGUCUCCCGACAUUCCAGCCACUUUGUGAUUCAGUCCCUUGCCAGCCAGAGCUCAAAGCCCCAGGCUAAUAGGGAACUCCCCACUUUGCAGACAGUCUGGGCCUGCCCUCUGUGUACACGGGGAGGGUCUCUUCCUCUGUACUUGCUCCACAGUCCCUUCCAGGUCCCUGUGGAGGGGCUGCUGUCCUGCAGCAGGGCCCCAGAUUCCUCAACUGCUGCCCCGCCUGCUGUCCUGGGGCCCCUCCUCAGGUGCAGAGUGAUGGCAGAGAUGCGCAUCCUUGGGCACACGGGUGGUUCUGCCUUGGCUGGGCUGUGCCUGUGGGUUGGGCGGGCCCAGGAUCUGCUUUUAAUGACACAGUAUUUCAGGGCUCGGGCAGCUGAACUCUGUCUGCUCCAGCAGGUAAAUUACAGGCUUAGCAAGUCAGAAAUCAAACAAACACUCCCAACUGCCUAUGGCGGCUGCUCUGAGGAGAAUAACGAUUUUCGGGAACCUUCCCCCAGGUCAGCCUAAUUACUGCCUGUCAUUCCCUUGGGACAGGGACCUUUGGUUCACAGGCCUCAAGAAACAGCACAGUGCUUCUGGGCCCACAAUGUGGUAUAGACUGUUGAGCAGCCUGUUCUUAACUCCUCGGUUCUAGCAGACAGACAGUUCCCUCCUUGCCCUGUGCCUGGCCUGAGGUGGCCCAAGCACCAUGCUGUGGGUAGAAUGGG